GCACCCUGCUCCCCGGCGCGUACCCAGGGGCCACGAUUUUGGCUGGGCGAAAGCGGCCCGCUCCCGCCUCUCUGAGUGCGCUGAUUACAUCUACCGGAGACACCUUCCCUCCCCUUGGGGAUCCCAACUCUCAGCUCUUCAGAAAGCAAUGACAAGGCAUCUGACUCAUCCUCCUGCACCUCUUUUCAAUUACUGACUUAAACCAGAUUACAGUUGCUCUUAGGCUUGAAGACUGAAACUUACUGAUAUGUGUAUCCUAGAAGUACCUGACACAGUAACACAGUGCCUUACCUUGGGAGAGAGAAAAGGAGCUGCUUACAGAAGAUGCUCCCUGGGGCAGCGGAGGCCACAGCCAUCAGAAGCGGUCCCAAUGGCCAGGGACGGUGGCCAGAUAACAAGGCAGCCUGGGAUGCACAGAGCGGCUAAGAAGACGCUGGCACUUGCACAGGAUAUUCUGCUGCCACCUUGAUGCAGCUGAGCUUGGUUUGGAAGACAGUCAGGAGGCAAGUGAUAAACAGGAGGAGGAGCAAGGGGAGAGUUUCUUUCCCCCU
rnacentral:antisense_RNA from 1 species